ACCAGACUCCUACGGGAGGCAGCAGUGGGGGAUAUUGCACAAUGGGGGGAACCCUGAUGCAGCGACGCCGCGUGGGUGAAGAAGCGCCUCGGCGCGUAAAGCCCUGUCAGCAGGGAAGAAAAUGACGGUACCUGAAGAAGAAGCCCCGGCUAACUACGUGCCAGCAGCCGCGGUAAUACGUAGGGGGCAAGCGUUAUCCGGAUUUACUGGGUGUAAAGGGGGCGCAGACGGCGAUGCAAGCCAGGAGUGAAAGCCCGGGGCCCAACCCCGGGACUGCUCUUGGAACUGCGUGGCUGGAGUGCAGGAGGGGCAGGCGGAAUUCCUGGGGUAGCGGUGAAAUGCGUAGAUAUCAGGAGGAACACCGGUGGCGAAGGCGGCCUGCUGGACUGCAACUGACGUUGAGGCCCGAAAGCGUGGGGAGCAAACAGGAUUAGAUACCCCUGUAC
rnacentral:rRNA from 1 species